rnacentral:piRNA from 1 species
AUCUUCCAUAAGUUGCCUUGGAUCACGGUG